rnacentral:rRNA from 1 species
GCAUAUCAAUAAGCGGAGGAAAAGAAACCAACAGGGAUUGCCCCAGUAACGGCGAGUGAAGCGGCAACAGCUCAAAUUUGAAAUCUGGCCCCAGGCCCGAGUUGUAAUUUGCAGAGGAUGCUUUUGGCGCGGUGCCUUCCGAGUUCCCUGGAACGGGACGCCAUAGAGGGUGAGAGCCCCGUACGGUUGGACACCAAGUCUUUGUAAAGCUCCUUCGACGAGUCGAGUAGUUUGGGAAUGCUGCUCAAAAUGGGAGGUAUAUUUCUUCUAAAGCUAAAUAUUGGCCAGAGACCGAUAGCGCACAAGUAGAGUGAUCGAAAGAUGAAAAGCACUUUGAAAAGAGGGUUAAACAGCACGUGAAAUUGUUAAAAGGGAAGCGCUUAUGACCAGACUUGCGCCCGGUGAAUCACCCAGCUCUCGCGGCUGGGGCACUUUGCCGGCUCAGGCCAGCAUCAGCUCGCUGUCGGGGACAAAAGCUUCGGGAACGUAGCUCUCUUCGGGGAGUGUUAUAGCCCGUUGCACAAUACCCUUCGGCGGGCUGAGGUACGCGCUCCGCAAGGAUGCUGGCGUAAUGGUCAUCAGCGACCCGUCUUGAAACACGGACCAAGGAGUCAACCUUAUGUGCGAGUGUUUGGGUGUCAAACCCCUACGCGUAAUGAAAGUGAACGCAGGUGAGAGCUUCGGCGCAUCAUCGACCGAUCCUGAUGUUCUCGGAUGGAUUUGAGUAAGAGCAUAUAGGGUUGGACCCGAAAGAAGGUGAACUAUGCGUGUAUAGGGUGAAGCCAGAGGAAACUCUGGUGGAGGCUCGCAGCGGUUCUGACGUGCAAAUCGAUCGUCAAAUAUGCGCAUGGGGGGCGAAAGACUAAUCGAACCUUCUAGUAGCUGGUUUCCGCG